UAGGGAAUCUUCGGCAAUGGACGAAAGUCUGACCGAGCAACGCCGCGUGAGUGAAGAAGGUUUUCGGAUCGUAAAACUCUGUUGUUAGAGAAGAACAAGGACGUUAGUAACUGAACGUCCCCUGACGGUAUCUAACCAGAAAGCCACGGCUAACUACGUGCCAGCAGCCGCGGUAAUACGUAGGUGGCAAGCGUUGUCCGGAUUUAUUGGGCGUAAAGCGAGCGCAGGCGGUUUCUUAAGUCUGAUGUGAAAGCCCCCGGCUCAACCGGGGAGGGUCAUUGGAAACUGGGAGACUUGAGUGCAGAAGGGGAGAGUGGAAUUCCGUGUGUAGCGGUGAAAUGCGUAGAUAUAUGGAGGAACACCAGUGGCGAAGGCGGCUCUCUGGUCUGUAACUGACGCUGAGGCUCGAAAGCGUGGGGAGCAAACAGG
rnacentral:rRNA from 1 species